UUGUAACUCAGUUGGUAGAGCAUGAGACUCUUAAGCACAGGGUCAUGGGUUUGAGCCCCAUGUUGGGCAAAA